rnacentral:rRNA from 1 species
GGAACACAGCGUCAUAGAGGGUGACAACCCCGUUCAUAACAUGGACCCCAGUGCUUUGUGAUACACUCUCGACGAGUCGAGUUGUUUGGGAAUGCAGCUCAAAUUGGGUGGUAAAUUCCAUCUAAAGCUAAAUAUUGGCGAGAGACCGAUAGCAAACAAGUACCGUGAGGGAAAGAUGAAAAGCACUUUGGAAAGAGAGUUAACAGUACGUGAAAUUGUUGAAAGGGAAACGAUUGAAGUCAGACGUGCGUGGUGCGGUUCAGCUCUGGUUCGCCAGAGUGUACUCCGUACCUUUGCAGGCCAACAUCGGUUUCACGAGGUGGAUAAAGGUUUGAGAAACGUGGCACCUUCGGGUGUGUUAUAGUCUCUUGCUGAAUACGCCUCGAGAGACCGAGGAACGCAGCGCGCCGCAAGGCAAAGACUCCGGUCUUUUCGCGCUUAGGAUGUUGGUGAAAUGGCUUUAAACGACCCCGUCUUGAAACACGGACCA